ACCUGGGUGGCUCAGUUGUUUAAGUGUCUGACUUCGGCUCAGGUCACGAUCUUGCGGUUCGUGGGUUUGAGCCCCACCUUGGGCU
rnacentral:tRNA from 1 species